CGUCACAGAUGCUUUACCAAUUAGAAUUAGUUCUUGUAGCAAUCAGAAUGCUACAAGAACUUCCACUAAGGUUAUUGUGCUAACCAUAGAUAUGAAUACGCACUAGCAGAGCAUCUGGUACGAAAAGAUGCAUUCCAUUAACGACGUGCAAAAUAAUAAUAUUAAUAAUAAAAUAAAAACAUAAACUAAAAGCGAGUGGAUUAUUCCAAUUAGGUCUACAUAUUACAAUUAGAGAAACUAACUUUUCUCACACGUCGGGUUAAAGAGAGCUAAGCCUACCUGUUCAACUAUGAGGUCAACAACAGACUGAGUCACUAACUAAAACUUUACAAGGCAACGUUUAGGAGUGCUGGGCAGCGCUUGUAACCAAGUGCGCUAGCUGCGCUCUGUACGCUUGGCCUACUUGGCCACAUCACUUUGGAUGAGCAGUGGAGGUGGCAACUGGAAGACUGCUGCUUACCAUUGACAUUGAGUCUUGUUCGGUCCCUAACGCUACACAGAAGCGGCAACAUUCGUGAGCAUGUCCCUGACUCCGCUGAUGUUUUUCUGUGUUAUAUUGCAACACCAAAAUACCGUCUCCCAAACUCUGGACCAGGGAAACGGAGAUACAGUCGAAAAUGGGAGCUGCAGUUGAUUUCUCCUGUCUUUACGCACAAGUCGAAAAGCCAUAUUACUUUUUCUGGUAUCAGCAAAAGCCUGGUCGACAUCCCGUCUGCAUAAAGCAAAUCUCAUACUUGGGGGACGAACAUCCUAAUGAAGGCUUCGUGGACGUCCACCGGUUCACCGGUGAGAGUUCAGAUUAAUUAUGACGACGGGAUCAAGCUCACAAAUAAAGGAUCCAUACCGAGCGACUCUGCCGUGUAUUUUUGCGCAGUCAACCACAAGAGCGAGAAGUUCCUAAAAUGUGGAGAUGGCAACAGACUUAGGCUCCUUCCAGAGAGUGAUGUCGUUGCCACUGCCUAUCUGCACAAGGCGGACACAGAUGGUCCCACAGCUUGCAUGGUGAAGGACUCCGGGCCACUUACAGCAUCAGUCUUCUUGUCAGGGGAGACUGUCCCAGCCGAGCCAACCAUGGCAACAGGGGAGUCCAGUUACGGCUUGGUUCUUUCCUUGUUGCUUUGUUAUUGAAAUGAACUUAUGAU